rnacentral:rRNA from 1 species
CCUACGGGUGGCAGCAGUGGGGAAUAUUGGACAAUGGGCGAAAGCCUGAUCCAGCCAUGCCGCGUGUGUGAAGAAGGCCUUCGGGUUGUAAAGCACUUUCAGUGGGGAAGAAAGCCUUGGGGCUAAUACCCUCGAGGAAGGACAUCACCCACAGAAGAAGCACCGGCUAACUCCGUGCCAGCAGCCGCGGUAAUACGGAGGGUGCGAGCGUUAAUCGGAAUUACUGGGCGUAAAGCGCGCGUAGGCGGUCUGAUAAGCCGGUUGUGAAAGCCCCGGGCUCAACCUGGGAACGGCAUCCGGAACUGUCAGGCUAGAGUGCAGGAGAGGAAGGUAGAAUUCCCGGUGUAGCGGUGAAAUGCGUAGAGAUCGGGAGGAAUACCGGUGGCGAAGGCGGCCUUCUGGACUGACACUGACGCUGAUGUGCGAAAGCGUGGGUAGCAAACAGGAUUAGAUACCCCGGUAGUC